UACGGAGGGUGCAAGCGUUAUCCGGAUUUACUGGGUUUAAAGGGUGCGCAGGUGGGUCUGUAAGUCAGUGGUGAAAUCUCCGGGCUUAACCCGGAAACUGCCAUUGAUACUAUAGAUCUUGAAUAUCCUGGAGGUGAGCGGAAUAUGUCAUGUAGCGGUGAAAUGCUUAGAUAUGACAUAGAACACCAAUUGCGAAGGCAGCUCACUACGGGAUUAUUGACACUGAGGCACGAAAGCGUGGGGAUCAAACAGG
rnacentral:rRNA from 1 species